UAAGGAUUUAACCAGUUGUUGUGCAGAGAGUUGUGCAGUGCAAAAAGAAUUCUAAGGGAAUCAAUUUUGAGAAAAUAAAAGCCUUUAUGUCUUUUUCAUUCAUUAGUGAGCUGACGUAUCUCAAGUGGUUGAAGAGUUGAACUUCUCAAAGAGAUGCUACGUUUACACAUUAAAGGACCACAUUCAGAGAGCAUCUGUAUCGGGGUUUCAUCAGUAUUACUGAAUCUACUCGCUCUGCGAUCUCUGAGACCUAACAGGCUUCUUUUUUUCUUUAUUGAUUUAGGGGUUUUUAUACGUAUGUACAUGUCAGCCCCAUUAUAAUCUAAGUACAUUAAAAAUACAAAAGAAAAACAAAAUUCUUAACUUAACAAACUAAAAAAAAAGUUAAUAAAACCAAAAUCAAAUUAUAUCUAUAAUGUUCAAACAAUAAGAUUUAUGGAUUCAAAUAACAGGCUUUUUGUUGAAGGUUUUUAUUAGGGUUUUGGAAUGGGUUAAGCCCGAAGUGUUGCUCCAGAGUUUAAUUCACUCUUGUGAAAAUGACGUAUCUAUGAUUUAACAAGACUGCCUUCAAUGGCAUGUUCUGGAAAUAGUGUUGCCAACCAUUCUAUAAAAUGAAUAUAGCAUCCCACUAGAUGCCCCGACUUUUUUUAAAUGAAAAUAAGGGACGAGGCGAACAUUACGUUCAGCUGAUGGCAAUUGAUACGCCCUGCCCAUAACAAUGCAGUGCCGCUCAGGAUUCUUGAAAAACCACAAAAGUUCUGAGCGGUAGUUCGUCACCUUGAGACAUAAGAUGUUAAGUCUCAUUUGUCCAGUAAUUUCACUAGCUACGGCGCUGUUUAAACUGAAACACAGUAUUGCUUACAGAUUACUGCUUCACGGCAGAAAUAGGUACCGUUUACCCAAAAUUUUGAAGAUUUUCUAUUUCUAAAAUGAUUAACAUUCAUAGUAAUAAUAGUGGCACUACUAGACACCACUACUAAAUAAUAUCUUCUUCUCUCUAAUCUUCUUUCAAUUCAGGCAAUAUCCGCGUAUACAGCGUGUAUAUUUUCUGUAAUAUAACAAUGGCGAGAUGAGCGCAAUAGAGCCAGUUAAAAAUAAUUGAAGAUGUGCUACAUAAUGGUAUUUUGUAAUUUAAAUUACAAUAAUAGCUAUGAAGAAUUCUUAAAAAAAUAAAAUUUAUUAAUAAACGCUUAAGGUAGCAAAAACUCUUCUUUUAAGAAAUAAAGUAGGACUCUAUAUUGGAACUUCUAUAUUUUUUUCAUCUCUGCGUAUCUACUAUUUUUUGUGGGUAACAAUUUUAGAACUACUAUUAUUGACCGAGAUAGAGUUGGCAACCCUGCCUGGAACCCAUCGAAGUGUAACUCUGUUUAUUUUUCCCAGAGUAUUCACUAUAUAUACCUAUACCUACCUAUAAGCUUAGAUCAUUUAUACGUCUAGAUAGACUAUGACAGGUGUGAAAACGUCAAAAAAAAAUGAGUUUAACCUCUAUUUUGAGCAAUUAUCACACACAGUGACAAAAAGUGUCAUACAAAUCUCGAGUGUAGGACGUAGCUUGUCACGCACACUAAUCUAAUUUUUCUGGCCUGUUUUUACCGAUUGUCUAACAGCAAGAGAUUAGACUCUAUCUAGACAUAUAAAUUAUCUAAAUCUAUUAGUUAAUUUCUAGUUAAUAUUUCAACUCAGUCGUACGUUGGACGGACCAUAUGACCAAGAGAGUGCUUGAUAUUAACACCGGACUAAGAGGACACGGAAGACCCCGGAUAAGAUAGAAAUCAGUAAUAGACAAAAAGCCCAAACAGAUUCACAGACGACCCAGGACAGAACGUCCUUGCGAAGACUGAUUAGGAGAGCCGACCCCAACUAAAAUGGGAUAGUGCGAGGAUGAAGAAGAAGAGUCGUACGUCGGCCGGAUGACGGCGAUUUUCAGCCCUGAAACAGAAAUUUGCAAGCGUUAUUAUUUCGGUUUGAAUGGCGACGUAGUUAUUGAAAUUAUUAAGUCAAUGAAACUUAUAUCUUACCAGAUGGUGGCCGAUCCACUUCCCUUCAACUAAACAUAAAUAUGCAUAUAAAUGCUUACAAAAUUCCAUAUAAAAAUUUAAAAUAUUUGUUUGUUAAUUUAGAAUUUUGUAGAAAUUCAGUCAUUACCAUAGUUAUUUCGAUUUUCCUUAUUUUUGUUAUCAAUUAAUGUCAGAGCAGAACUGUCAAACCGUGCGUCAAAUUUUUUUCUCAUUUAAUUAUCAUACAGAUAUAAUAUUUGAAAUUCAAAACAUAUAAACAUAUAGAUAUAAAAACUAUCAUAUCUCCAAUGUCGGAUCAAACUGCAAACAGUGGACUGAAUUUUAUUGAAAUCGGAAAUUUUUAUAUACAAGAUGUCUGAAACCAUUCUCCUGAGUCACUCCGUCUUUGAGUGAGAAUCCUAUUUUAAUCAGCUUAAUAGUUUAAAGUUUAUUGGGAACAGACAACAGAAAACCUUUUUUUAAACUAGUAUAGUAACCCGCAGUGUAAUAGAACCGGAAUAGUUGAACUAAAAACAUCGUCAAAAUGGCUGAUUUUGAAAAUCGAACGAAUAUGUCGCGUCAAAAUGGCGCCGGCAAAUACAAACAAGCCUAAGAUAACAUGCAGGGGUCGCUAUGAGUGUGCUUACCAACUAUUUAACGAUGUUGGUAACAUCACGAAAUUUUGCAUCUUUAUGUAUUUGUCACAAGAACUGUAAUAAAUACAUUAAUUUACCAUAGGGAGUGACAAUAACUUAACAUAUUGCAACAACAAUUGGUAAUCGUUAUGAAGCUAUAUCAGUUCGUAAGUGGGUUUUGACACGGGGAGAAGAACUGAUAAGAAAUUCUAACAACCAACAACAACUUAGCCUACUUAAUAUAAUAACACUAGAAACAAGGGAUUGCUUGUAACUAAUUCUAGUAGGCUUCAUAAGAUACAUAAUAGCUUUAAUGUAUACACUUUUAGAAUAAAGCCCCAGCCACUGUUCAGGCAUUAUCUAUAAAUAAAUUUAAAUGUUUUAUAAAAAAAUGGCUC